GACGAACGCUGGCGGCGUGCUUAACACAUGCAAGUCGAACGGAACGGCCCUGCUUGCGGGGGGGGCUCGGGUGGCGAACGGGUGAGUAACCCGUGAGUAACCUGCCCUCGACUCCGGGAUAACGUCAGGAAACUGGGGCUAGUACCGGAUAGGAGCGCCUGCUGCAUGGUGGGGGUGGGAAUGUUUCGGCGGUUGGUGAUGGACUCGCGGCUUGUCAGCUUGUUGGUGGGGGAGUGACUUACCAAGGCUUUGACGGGUAGCUGGCCUGAGGGGGUGACCGGCCACAUUGAGACUGAGAUACGGCCCAGCCUGCUACGGGAGGCAGGAGUGGGGAAUAUAGCUCCAUGGGCGGAAGCAUGAUGGAGCAAGGCCGCGUGCGGGCUGGCGGCCUUCGGUUUGUAAGCCGCUUUCGCCUGUGAGGGAGCGUGAGUGACAGUAAUGGGUAAAGAAGCACCGGCUAACUACGUG
rnacentral:rRNA from 1 species